rnacentral:rRNA from 1 species
UACGGGGGGGGCAAGCGUUGUUCGGAAUUACUGGGCGUAAAGGGCUCGUAGGCGGCCAACUAAGUCAGACGUGAAAUCCCUCGGCUUAACCGGGGAACUGCGUCUGAUACUGGAUGGCUUGAGUUUGGGAGAGGGAUGCGGAAUUCCAGGUGUAGCGGUGAAAUGCGUAGAUAUCUGGAGGAACACCGGUGGCGAAGGCGGUUCUCUGGGCCUUACCUGACACUGAGGAGCGAAAGCGUGGGGAGCGAACAGG